rnacentral:lncRNA from 1 species
AGAGAGAGAGAGAAUGAGUUGGGCCUUUUGACCCCAUUUUUGACCCGGUCCACCAUUUAGAAUCCUACUCCAACAAUAUAACACCUCCAAAAAUAAUACCUACUAAAACAAUUAACCUCUCUUUACCAAACAAAGUCUACUCUUUUUAUCUAAUAACUUUUUCAUGCCAACUCCGAUUUUAACGUUUAGCAUGUCUAUGAACUCGUAUUGUCCUCUACAACUUUAUGAAAAAAGUUUUCCCAAAUUCCAAACGAAAGAAAAAGUCAACUUUUAGAGUCUUAAAUAGUAAACGGUUACUUAAAACAGUAAAAGGUCAAAGUAACCCAAAAAUAAAUAACCGUAAAUUGACUUAAGAACUGAGAUGUGACACCUAUCCCAACUAUUUUGUCCCUGUUGACAAAGUCAUUUAGGCGAUCUUGCCAUUCUCUUAUUUUGUUUAUCACUAGGGGGCAAGAGAAACCACCGUGGUGUGUAAUGUGACCAACAAGUGAGGUCAUGUAUUCUGGGUUCCAUACGUAUAUUGGCGGGAGGUCUAUCCUCUAGAACAAAUUGAAUUGCUCUCCUACAACAUCCAAGUACAGCAGCUGUAGAAACAUGACGCCACCACUCACAAAACCUCCUUCAUCAUCUGUAUGUGACGUUGCUCCUUCCAACAAAAAAUUGACUGCAUACGACGCGCAUUUUUUGUUUUUGAUGUCAGGAGCGGACAGUACCGCUCCCACCAAGCCUAUGUUCACCAAGCCAUCUCUCCCAGGACACAGCAAUGUGGUAAGUGCGUAGAGAGAAAAUGCUGUUUUGAACAAGUUGUCAGCCCCCUCUCUGUAACAUACAAUUUCCACCAAUCGGGCUAUUUGAAUAUGUCGACCCCCUUCGUCAAAUAAAUAUCUCCUUACAUACGUCUCUUCCCAAUUAAAAAGGGACCGUCCCUCCUCAACCUCCUGCCAGCCGUCUGUGAUUCCCAUCACGCGAGUUAACUCACCAUUUGUCAAGCCAUAAUACAGACCACAAAUUUCAACUGUCCUGUUCUUAAUGUCAAUUGCUCUAAACAUUAAGUUCCAUAUUGGUCCAUACAGGAAAUUAAUCCGCAAGUCUAGCAAGUGACCCCAUCCAAUCUUGUUUACUGCGGCCACCUUAUCUGGUGGCAAAUCUUUAACCGUCUUGCAGAACUCGUACGGCCUGCUAUGACUAUAUAGAUAUCCAAGAUCCUGCAUGACCAACAGCCGUGUUAUCAAUAUAUUAGCCAGUGAAACAUUACAUUUUUGGUGUUACAACUUCAUGUACGAUAAAUAUUACAAAUAUUUAAGGAUCAACAUAUUUUCGAGUUACAUUACCAUAUCUAUCCCUACGCUUGGUUCUGACUCAGAUGGCCUGCACAAGCAUUCAGCUGUGUAUGAAACUAUACUGACAAUGUAAUCAAACUAAAAGCCUUUGUUUCCUUUUUCACAUUUUCGCCGGACCUCUCCGCAAAUGUUUUACUAACACAAUUUAAAUUAAUCUGCUUGUGCUUGGACUUACCUCUUGAAGAACACUUGUUGGUUACGAUCCACCCCGUAGUCGCCGGAUCCACUGCUGUGCUCCAUCUACAUAAAUAAAUAAUACUACGUGGUUAGACUUGUUUUGUAACCUACAACAACCCUUAUAAGCGUAUCACAUUGCCGCAAUUGUAACACCCAUUUAACCAUACAAUUGUUUGUUUGUUUCUUGAAUGAUAAUAGGUCUACAAUAUGUUCACUGCACAGAACGAAUCAAGCCUCAACUAAUCAAUCCACACACUAGUUCACCUAUCAUGCCAUAUUAUGACCUAUGUACCCUACUUUGAUUAAUAGGUGAUAGUUCAACUAUAUGUCAUGAUCUAGUGUUUUACUACAUGAAGACCAUAUGAAUGUAUACAGUAAGUUGUAGCAUUUUUCCUCCUCAUCCAUCUUUCCUGUUGAUAGAUCUUGAUAUGUAAAUUUUUAGUGCAUUACAACUCCAGCAUUCGAAUCUGAUGACAUGAACUUGUUAACUAACUCCACAAUAUUAUUCAAUACCUUCAUUGAAACUGAAUUCUACUUGCACAUAUGUUAUCAUUUUCAAAUCAUAUAACUCCCUACCCGUUAGCCGCAAUUGUACCCACCCAAACCCAUCAUGCAGGAUACCAUCCCCAAUAGAUCUGUAGUUUAGCCAGUUCUAGCCAGUUCAACACAUAACUCAUGCAGAACCACAACAUACAUAUGGUUUUACAGUCACACAAAAGGACUAAUAUGCAGAUAGGGACGUCUCAGUACAGAAGAAGCAGAGCAGGGGAAUAUAUUCGAUGUUGAACUGUAAAGGAGGUUUUACCUUUUAAACUUUACCUUCAGGCCUGCGACAGCGAAUAUCUCUCCCUCCUGACUUGUUGCAGCUUGUUGAAGAAAUCCAAUAACGUAAUCGUCGACCUUUCUCUCACCGGGAUCCGCUGCAGCCCGUCCUCAUCUCAUUAUGCGUCUGCAUUUGAUCUACUCUUUCAUAUAUAGGGUUCUUUACACGGAGCUCCUCUUUAGACAUACCUCUUAACCUAAUAGGUAUUAUCUCUUGGUUUAACCUAACAACACGUUCCCCAACGGCAUAUUUUAAUACAAUAACUAGAAGAAUUGGUGCGGUUUUGUGUUUUCGAUGUGCUAGGUCAAGUAAGAUGGAGGGAGGGAGGGAGUUCACAAUUCCCCCCCCCCCCCAACAAGACAUGAAUCUGUAAACCAGAUUUUCUGGAUUGCACCCUCCUUGCACCGUCACAUCAUCCAAUUAUUCGAAAAGUAAUGAUACUAAGGCAAUAUCGUAAGUUAUGAACCGAAUCAGUUAUGGUAUUUGGUUAGAGAACUUGCUACCAAUCCCCUCACUUUUCAACUGAACCCACUCCACUCCCCUUAGGAACCAGUUUUGCCAACCAGGAAAAGUUGGUGGUCUCCAUGACCAUCCAAUCAACUAACUCUCUCUCUCUCNNNNNNNNNNNNNNNNNNNNUACUACACUAACUACUCUCUCUCUCUCUCUCUCUCUCUCUCUCUCUCUCUCUCUAUUGGAUGGUCAUAAGACCACCAACCUUUCCUGGUUGGCAAAACUAGUUCCUUCCCCUUACUAUCUCCGACCGAUAUAUAUCCACAUCACCUCCCCUUGCCAUCUAUAUAACACCUCCCUUUUACUCCCAAUUAUCUGAACCACGCUAUCCCUCUACCUGCCUGUUAAUAUCCCUCCUUCCCUUGUUGCAUUGGAAUAUUUUGGCUGUCAUGUCAACAAACACUUCCAACCAUCCCUCCGACGACAACGUAUCCAGACCCCCCACUAUCGGUGGCUCUAGUGGUGCUUCUGGCUCUUCGUCCACGACCCCCGGUGGAAUGUCCUCCAAUCCCACCCUAGAAAAUCCUACCACCUUACCCCAUGUUCAGUUUAAUCUCGUUCCUCCCGACUGCACUCCUUUAAGAGACACAAACGGCAGAGAGUAUGACGAAUGGGUCUUCGACAUUGAUCCAGCAAUAGGUCAUGACCGUUGGACAGGACAGUUUCUCCGUGCUCCGGUUGAGACUCCACAUGAGACCCGCACCAUCAUCUGUUCAGCUCACGGUGAAUUUUACUGCCUAACGUGCUCCCGUUCUGAUGCCGCGUAUUUCCUCCGUUGCGUAACCAUUGCCGGCAAGUACCACGAUCCCACUAUGUGUUUUUGUUGUCGUGAUCAGUGACGUGUUUCGUUUGUUCGGAGUUUGAAUCGGAAUAAAACAGUCAUUGUCGCAGUGUUUGUUGUUUAAUUUAGCUUGGUUUGCAGUGUAAUUUAUGAUGUUCAGUAACUAUAGUUUGUAAAAACUUGUAAUUUACGAUGUUCAAUAACUAUGCUAGGCAAUGUAAUGUCUGAUGUUGGUAAUCUUAAUGUUUGUUGUUAGUGGGUAUUUAAUCUGUAUUCAUGUUAAUCAAUCACAUUAUCAACCCAAAACCCUAACCGUAAUUCAAUAUGAACAUAAUGACAUCCACUUUACAUAUUUUAAGACAGAGACUAAGAUAUAUGGUGACAUGAGAAAAAUGAAAAUUUAGCCGAAAUAUCUUCAAAAAUCAAAAUACGUGAUUUUUCCUUCCUUGUCUUAAUAAGGUGUCCAUCAUGCAAACCAUACAGGAUAAGUUAGACAUAACACCAUAGGACUCCAACACCAUAUCUUGAACAAUUUGUUGUUCUUCCCUCCUCGAUUACGAGUCAUAUUAUUUCGAUUAUGAGUUGAAUUAUUUUUAAUCCUGGUAGUUUUAUGAGUCAUUUUAAAUGAAUUUGGUGACGCCACGCUUAUAUUCUAUUGACAUGUGUAAACUUACUGUUUGGUAUACAAUAUAUAAUAUAAGUUAUUAUAUUUGGUGGACAGUAUAUAACUUAUAAUAUUAUAUGAAUCUCACUUUAUAUUUGGUAGGCGAUAUAUAACAUAAGUAAUUUUUUUUAUAUAUAUGUAAUUCUACUAUGAAUCCAUACGAUAGACAUUUUAAAAUAAAAUUCAUUUUAUUAUGAAUCGCACCUUAUAUAAGACAUUAUAUAAGUCAUUUUAUUACUAAAAUAUGUAAAUUACAAUAUUUCACCGUCUGACAUGAUUAUUACAAUAAAACAUGGCUAUAGUAUCAAAUUCAUCUGGAUUCGCUGCCUUUUCGGAGCUCAAUCGAUACUGGAGAACCUUAAUCCAUCGUCAUUUAUCACACAUAAACGCUUUUACCUACCUGUCCGUGACCUAGUUCGGACAAUUCUUGCACCCAUUCAAGUCUGACAUAGAUGAGACGUAACCACACAUGAGAAAAAAAUGUUGUAAUUUACAUCCCGCAGAUAAAGUUAUAUUAAGCCUACAAAGGGUUGAUGCCUUUAUCGGGACCCAUACGUCACUUGAAAUAUGUGAUUUUUCAAUUAUAACAUUAUUUCACUAUUCUGAUGACAUCUUAUUUCACGAUACGUUUGAAAAUUUUGCUUCCUCUGUAUAGUUGGUUCACAAAGUUGUACAGUUGCAUAUAACCUACUAAAUAAGUUAUGACACAUUAUUAGGCACGUUGUGAUUUCGAUUACUAUAAUUCAUAAAAUGAAAAUUUGACCAUAUGAUAUGAUCGUUAUAGUGAAACAUGGCUAUGAACCAAAAUUCAAUUAGAUUCGGCAACGUUCGGGACUCGAUCAAAGCAAUCAACUUGAAACUAUCAUCACUUAUCACACGGAAACUCUUACACCCACCUCUCCGUGACCUAGUUGGUCGACUCUUUCUGCACAUGAAACUCUCACAUAGAUGAGAAGCAACCGCCCAUGUAAAAACUUGUAGACGUUUACCUCCCGACGAUAUGGCUUUCAUGUAUAAACAUAAGUGUAAAAAGGGUUGACCACUUAAUUCGGGACCCAGAUGUUACCCGAAAUACGUGAUUUUUCAACCAUAGUCAUAUUUCACCAUUCCGAUCACAUCCUAUUUCACAUAAUUUCCGAAAAUUAGAUACCCACUUUACAGUUGGUUAACAAAGUGGUAGAGUUGCAUAUAACGUAAAAAUGAAGUUAUGCCACAUUAGUAGGCACGUUGUGAUUGCGAUGACUAUAAUUCAUAAAAGAAAAAUUUGACCUUAUGAUAUGAUCGAUAUAGUGAAACAUGACUAUGGACCAAAAUUCAACUAGAUUCGGCAACGUUUGGGACUCGAUACAAGCGGUCGACUUGAAACUAUCAUCACUUAUCACACGAAAACACGGCUAUUUCGAAUUGAUUUUACUCGAUAUCCAAGUGCAUGUAUAGUAUAUAUCAAGCAGUGAACCGUCCAAUCGUCAAGCAUUUUAACUUACUCGGUUUGAUGUAUAUUAUUCAUGUAUUACAGUAUAACAACCAAACCCAUUCUGAAUAACUUUAAUAGUUGUGUACCUUAAUGAACAACUCUAGCUGGAUGUUGUAUAGAUGCGUGUAAGUUGUAACCCUCUUGUAAUUGCUCACUUGUGUUUUACUAUCGCGUGUUCUAACUGUGGCAUUAAUGAAUUACAGUGUUUAACGCCUCUUUAUGAUACAACCUACACUGGAUAUGCCUAUAAAAGGAAAUGACAUAUCAUAUAUAUUACGUGCAAAUCUGGUGAUGGCAUAGAUUCCCCCCACGUGCAUCCCCCCUCCUAGAUUCGCCCACUGUUUGGUAGUCAAAAAGGCCACUGCUGAAACAAUGAUCAUGUACAAAGCUACCUUAUGAACAAGCACGUGCAUGACAUUCCAUCAAUAUAGAAAGAGACACUCCAUCCUUUUGUCGCCGACCUAAUAUGUAGGUCAAGAAUAUAUGUACGGUUAAGCACGUGCCCACGUCGGUGCAUGGUGUGUCUCUGUGCUCCUACUAUAUAUUGGGGGGACGCCAUUUCUACGAGUAGCCUUAUGCUUGUUCACCUCCCACCUCAAAUGCAACAAACCUCACACUUCUUUCAGGAGCAUCCAAUUCUCAUUUGCUCCUCUCAUUUGCCUGGUAUUUCGUUAUUGUUAUUUAGACAUGAACCCAGAUCCAACUAUAGACAUUCCCAUAAACAAUCAAUCCACACAUGUUCAGUGUUUUUCUCCUAUUUACGCGAUAUCAUACACAAAACCGGCUUAUUCAGAGAUAGGUGUUGGAAAAUGGUUUCAUCGACAUGAAAUUGUCAAGACAGUGAAUGCAACGAUACAAACUAACUAUCGCAUCCCUCCAGAUUGGUUUCCAGAUAAAAAUAGUCAAGGUUAUCCAUACAAUUGUUUUAGUUAUAUUGUGGAAGAUGAUAUCGGAUUUGCUGAGUGGGUGGGUGAGAUAGUGGAUAGACCGUUCGUGUCAUUCGAUUGGAAGCCGUUUGUUACCCAUGUACCGACUACAUAUUCGAACGGUGCCCAACCAAUCAACUCUAUUGUCACAGGCAACGUACAACGUACCGGUUUACCUCGUUAUGCAUAUCCGUGUAUUAUACACGGAAUGACAAUGUGUCAUGAGUGCAUGACAGUAGAAAUCUACAAGGAAAUUAGAAGACGGUUAGGUAAAUUCUACCAACGCUAUUAUUCAUAUUAAAGGUGUACUUUCAUGUUCAUAUUAUUAAUUACUUUCAUGUUCACGCAAUGUCAAUUACCUUAUCUAUAUGUACAAAUCAUGUGGAGUUAAAAUUAACAGUAUGCUAAUAUGUCAACAUUUGUAAAAACACCCAUGCUAUUUAUACAUCAGCUGUGAAAACGUAUUUACAUGGCUAGGCUUAAUAUUAUUUUAGUACGUCGAGAAUCGAGAGGGCAUUUUAGUGGGAAUUUUGUAGAUUAUUCCACUGAAAGAGUCAUCCACUGAAAUUGAUACACAAGUUGAGCAACCGAUUACAGUUUUGUCGAGAAAUUUAAGCAACAUGUGCAGGUAGUUAAUAUAUCUGAUAUCAUAGGAAAAACACCGCAAGGUUACACAACGUUCACAUAUCAACACUGUCAACAAACUAACAAAACUAGACAUGGAACACGAUAGGAACCGUCAAUGGAGAACUGAGCAAGUUACCAUCUUCAAAAUGAUAUGUUUGCUCUAACAUAACCGCAAAAUACACAAUCAGGCCAAUACUGCAUCAAACCUUCUUCAACCUGAACACCAAAUGCUGCAUAACCUCCAUCUUUAGACGGUUCCCUCGCUUGAUGUUGUUGGCAGUCAUAAAGGCACGCCAUCCAUCGCCAAAUCUGACGCUUUGGUUGUUCUUGAAUGUGCCAAUAGUUCGGGCUUCAUUAUCGUCCCCCCACAGGGUAAGGUGCACACCAGAGAAAUCGUUAAUGUGUUUCUGGAAGAAAUCUUUAGGGACAGUCUGCAAAAUUAAAUGUAAAAAAAUUCUUACAUGUAUGACCAAACAUUUAACAACUCAAGGUAGACAUGGAACCGGGAUUGUGUAAUAACAUAUGAUAUAAACAUGACAUACCGGGAUGCUGUUAAAGAUUUUAAAUGUACAUCAAUCUCCUUCUCCCGCAGCUUCUAGUCCAUCUGAGGAGUCAUCAGAAACGGCAUCCAAGGAGUGAUGGGAAAAAUCAUCCGAGGAGUCAUCAGAAAUGACAAUGGGUUAAACUUCAGACCCUCUACGGCUACCCCCAACUGCAACUGCAGGUCGAUUCGAACAACUGUUUGGUCUAUGCAGGGUAACAUAGAAGUUCAACCUCCCUAAAUAGUAGAAAACGACAGUAUAACGUGGACCAAGGUUGUGGUGCUUCAUGAAUUCUCUCCACCCUUGUCUGAAAAACAGUUCACCUUGAUCCUUAACACAGGCUAUCUUCCACCCCUGAUUUGGAUUACGAUCAUAUUGAACAUGCAGAUACACAAACUGAGACCGCCUUAGGUCAGCGGCAAACUGUUCCCAAAAAUAUUUAGGUAGAUGCUACAUACAAUUCAUAUAUGACAUAGUUAGUACCAACAAUAUAAUAGCAACAUGUAAGACCAACAUGGAAAAUAUGACCUGCGUAUACAUAGAAAAAAGAAGAUUGUAGUAUGCAGUUGAGUUAACGAGUUCAAAUUAUGCAUUACCAAAUCAUCGGUCUUCGCUAUUGGUGAUAAGACAGCACCGUAGGUUGGAUAGAACUCGUCCUCGUCAGUAUUUCUCAGCAAAGGGUGGCUGGACCUGAACUGAAAUCAAACAUGCUACGUUAGCAAUGGCAGGGGAUAUUACUCUUACACAACCAAUAUGAUUGUGUAUGAUAUGGUAUUACUAAAUCAGUCAAUAUUAACCACAGGAAAACAGUCAAUGAUGUAACAAACAAGAUUAGUUAUCAUUAGUGGCCGAUAUUAGUUUAUACAAAUUUGCUGAAUUCCCACAUCAUGUUCUGCAAUUUUACAACUAUUGCACACAGCAUAGGAGCAGCAUAUUUGAAAAUAAAAAACCAGCAACAAUAAAGGGGAACAGAGAUACAGAACAGGUCACCGAUUAGAUGCAUCAUUUGGUUAUGUAAUAGUUCCUUCAUAGAAAUCUAAAAACAAGAUCGAUGACCGUAUGGGUAACCAACCGGUUUGUUGGCCAUGCUUGAGAGGAGAGUGGAGGGAACAGCGAUUCGAUGGAGGAAUCUAAUAGAAAUAGCCAACUGCACCCAAAACCAUUCACCCUGGAUCUGAAAAUUGAAGCAAUUUAGGUUCAGUAGAUAUGAACAUGGUGAUUGCAUACGUAUUAUAGUAAACAGGGCGGAUUCCUCCUUCUGGUCACCGGAGAUGAAGGUUGGGUUGAAACCUGUGUUCACCUCUGCAUGAACUUCACUGCAAUCCAUUUCCUUCAGUGUCCUCGACGUUCAAAUGCACUGCAAAAUACUGAACUGCAGUUUUGACUACACCUUUGCACUCCCACCGUUGCACUCCCUUAGAUUGGUGGAUCUAUUCCACACGCUUUCAACUGACCGCAUUAACUGCGACCUGUCCUUUCAAUUGCCUAAAAUAAUGUAAUGUGAUCAUCGAGACCAACCCCGAGAUUCAAUAGAAGCGAAAUGGCGUCGAAGCAUAACCUAAAACAUAAUGGAACCAAGGUUCGAGACUGCCACCACCAAAACUGGGUUAUUUAUUUUGAUGGAAUUUACAUCCAUUUACAUUUACGGGUUUGUUAUUCGUUAAUGCCCGUCGAUGUGUUGUUAAAUAUUGUAUCAUUUUUAGGGGUGGAUUUUAGGCACCGAAAAUAUCAAAAUCGGUCAAAACCGUAUUGAACGAAGACCGAAAAACCAAAACCGAUGAAAACGAGCCUAUCGGGUAAGUUAAGCGGCAAAGAACCGAGUAUUGCGGUGUCUGUUUACGGUUAUGUGGAUCUUGAAAACCUAUUAAACUGAACCAAACCGACAUAUAUAUAUUUAAUUAUUAAUAUGUAAUUGUACAUUAGAUAUCAUGUUUUUAUUGGUUAAAGGUUACAUAUUAUAAGCUUCGACACACAAUAUUAAGAUUUAUAAGUGUAUUAGUAUAACCCAACCAAUUUUAGGUUAUCCGACCAGUGCAGUUUAGUAUAUCAUUUUAUCAGUUUCCGUUUUACAAAAUAGAAAACCGAAACCUCAGUUUUCUAUGUUCUCGUUUAGUGAAUUAAAACCAAACAGUUAGGAGCGAGUCCACCCAUAAUCAUAUGGACUAUGAAAUACAAAAUUUCGCCCGUAAUAAGUUAAAUUGUACAUGUCAGUGAGCCGUGGCUUGGUUGGUUAAGGUGUUUAACUAACAAUUUUGAGGUCACGGGUUCAAACUUCACAGACAUACGUAGGGUGUGUGAGUUAUUAAUAAAACAUUUUUUUUUUUUUAAAAAGUUCAAUUGUACAUAAGUCGUUGUUAUGUAAUGCUUACAUUAAACGAUUGAUCUUAUACUUUAUACUAACUUAAUGACCAAUAUUGAUAUGGUAAGGUCAUUAUGUUAGUUUAUAAACGAAUUUGGAUUCUCUAUUUCGAUUUAUGUUGUUUGGAUUCCGUUGGAUCGAGUAAAAUCUAAGAAGGUCAUGUCAUCCUUAUUCCAUCUAAUUGUUAUAAGACAUCUAAGUAAGUAAAUCAAAUAAAUAACAAUAAAUUUAUAGUCAAGAAUCCGGAUCUUUCUAAUACACAUGACUACGCGUCGAACACUUAAUCAUUUAAUUGUGUGUGACGAAGUAUAAACGAAAUCAAGCACCUGAUAGGGAUGGACAUGUAUGUUUCUUACUAUAAUACAGAUGAAGAAUAAGUGCUCGAUGAAGCAGACAUGUGGGUUACAUAAGACAUUAAAAAUAUCAACUAGAAGGAUAUUUAAGGUUAAUAAGAUAAUUAUAUAGUAUAAAUUCGUUUUUGUUAACUAUAGUAAUUGGAAUAACAACGUGCAUUGAAUCUGGCAUAUCGUAAUUGAGGUUGGAUUUUAAUAAAGUAUAAAACUUUGUCAAAGAAAAAUACGGUCACAUAAGAUAUGUUCUUUGUAGUGAAAUACAAAUAAUGUAUAGAAAUCAUAUAAAAUUGACAAUUUCGUAUCAGCUACAUAUGUGUAAUUUUGAAUACUAAAUUUAAAUAUUAGUAAUAUGAAAUAGUAAUGUUGUUAGAGACCGCUCCAUCGUACGAUUUAUAUUAAAUGAUUGCUAUAUAUUUAUACUGUUUAUACGCAUUAUACAUAAAAACCGUAACUAUUAUACAUUUAUUAAUCACGAAAAUUUGUACACAACUAAAAGUUAACAUUCUUAUUUUAAAUUCAUUUAAAUUCAAAAAUAAAGUCACAUGGAACGAGUAACCUACUCUUAACGGUGAAAGAGAACCCUUUCAUUCCGAAUUCUUAAAUUCGGAAUUAAUCAAAUCUCCUCAAGCAAGAUCGAAAAUUGCGUUUAUGUAAUGUUAAAAGAAAAUAAAAAUUGAUACAAUCAGUUAUUGAAAAAUAAAAUUCCUCGUAAUGUCCUCAUAAACUUUUAAAUGGACGGAUGAGAAUUUACAAGGCCCCCUCCCAAGUUGCAACUUGCAAGUUACAUCAUAGGGAGUAUAUUGUUCACUCACGAUUUUGGUCAGGGUCAGAUUUUCUCCUAGAUUUCCUCAGAUUUUACCAGCGAAGGUGUAGUCAAAACAGCAGUUGAGUAUUUUGGAGUGCCUUUGAACGUCGAGGACACUGAAGGAAGUGGAUUGCAGUGAAGUUCGUCCAGAGGUGAGCACAUGUUUCAACCCAACCUUCAUCUCCGGUGACCGGAAGGAGGAAUCCGCCCGGUUUACUGUAAUACGUAAGCAAUCACCAUGUUCAUAUCUACUGAACCUAAAUUGCUUCAAUUUUCAGAUCCAGGGUUUAUGGUUUUGGGUGUAGUUGGCUAUUUCUAUUAGAUUCCUCCAUCAAAUCGCUGUUCUCUCCACUCUCCUCACAUGCAUCUACGACGAACAGGUUAGUUACACAUACGCUCAUGGAUCUAGUUUGUUUAGUUAUAUGAAGCAACAACAAAAUCAUAAUCAAUUGAUGCAUGUGAUACUGGUUAGUUACCCCUAAUUUCUGAUUGUACAGGUCUUGGGUGGCUACUAUGUCGUAUGGGUUGGGAGGAAACCAGGGGUGUACAAGACCUGGAACGAAUGCAUAGCACAGACAAAAGGAUUAUCCGGGUGUCAAUUCAAGGGAAAUUAUUUUCUAAAUAAAGCCAUCGACGCAAUUAUGAGUCCACCUCUGAACGCUAAACAUCUGAAACCACCUAGCUGGCCCAUACAAAUUCCAGAUGAGGCAGUGCCUUACUACAAUAUGAGAAGGGGGACAAUGAAUGACACUGAACGUGCAUCAAGAGCGUCGUCAUCCAUUGUAAAAGCCGGAGCCGUAAAAGCCACCAUUGAAGGUAAUGGUAAGAGAAUGGUACUGGAGGGAAGUGCCGAAGAUGUUUCAUAUCUUCUAAGAGGUAUGAAAUUGUGAUAUGUAUGAAGCUGCUGGGUGGAUGGUUUUACUGGGGUUGCGUACGUGAGCUUUAUAAACAACAUCCGAGACUGUAACUGAACUGUUGUCAUUGUAAUUGAAGUGAAGGUUUUUGUUUCAAGGACUCCAACACCCUCCUUGUUUCAGUUUAAUUGUUCUUUGGACAUCGUCAGCCACUGUAACAACUGUUGUCAUUGUAAUUGAAGUGAACGUUUUUGUUUCAGGGACUCCUUGUUUCAAUUUAAUUGUUUUUUCGCUCUUCAGUGUGCCAUUAUGUAAUACGAUAUAUGAAAUACGAUGAACUGUGACAACAGUCACAACACAACAAAGAUGUCCACACUAACGUCGAAGCACCUUGUAAUUUGUUAUUUGGAAUUCCAUUCGGAUUUACUGUCCAUAACAUUUCUUCUAAUAUAUCCCCGGAUUUUACAACCAAGAAGAUGAAAUACAGUAUUCGGAAACAAGACUGCAUAUGGAAUAACGAAAUUACAACAAAUGAGGGGCUCACGUUACCUAAUACGCAUGAAAUUACAACCAUAGCCGUAUUCCACCGUGAAAAUCACAUCUUAUUUCACAACAUAUUUUAAAAUAUCCGACUUGUCGUAAUCAAAUCCUAAUGUGCCUGCUAUUGUGGUAAAAUUUGUUUAGUAGGUUACUAGCAAAUGUACAUCAUUGUGAAACAACAUCAAAGAGGAAGCAAAAUUUGCAAAAGAACAAUGAAAUAGGUCAUCACCUGAAUAGUUAAGUAACACUAAGGUGGAAAUAUCACCUCUAUCAAUAUAACAUGAGGCCCCGGCAAGACAAGUAAACCAUAUUUACAUCACUAAAACCCCUAACGGCAGCCCAAGCAUCGAGAGGGUCCGGGACCCGGAUAUGUGCUUUGGUGGUUAGAUAUCGCUAAUCUCAAGAUUUCACGUCUUUAAGGAUCGGCCAAACUAGGUUUCAUAGGAGGCGAUCAAAUCAAAAUUAUGCUAAACAACACUCAAUUACACUUAACUAACUUUAUACUUUUCAACCGUAGAGGGAUGACACCGUUAUGGACACAACAUAUAUAACGACAUUGUACAAUUAUCUCGACUUAUCGAAACAAAUUCUUAUGGGUACAACCAGUGUCGUUCGAAAGCGGCAAAAUAUAUUACUUCCGACAAAACAGGACGACGAAAUAUUUACAUUGUAGAUUGGGGCUCAGGACGGGCGAUCACAGCAAAACAUGUGGAAUGUGGCCUAAUAAUACAACGUCAUUAUCACGCUUCCCGGUUCUCCGAUUUCAAUUUAUAGGAGACAUGACUUAUUUACACAAUAUAUGGCCCAUGUGUUAGGCCCAACUCUGCAGGACAGUAGUGAUCCAAUAGUACAAAUUGGAGUGAUAUUGCUAUAUGCCCUCACCGUUUGGUAUGACAAAGCGGGUCACACCGUCAAAUUACACAACCCCUUAUCCUUUCCUUCAUCCCUAGUACAACCAAACACUGAUUGCGGCUUCUGAAACCCGCCACAAUGUAAAACAACAAACGACAGGAAUAACCAGCCACAAUGUAAAACACAAAUCUGAACAACAACCAUAAUUAAGUGGGAAUGACAUUAAGUUAUAAUUCCUUCUUUACUCAGUUUAACAUCACAGUCAAGUCAUGGCCCAAGUGAACCAUGGAAAAAAAACAUGCCAAAUAAUGUACUAGUCAUCCGGUUCUUAUAACAAUACAAAUAACAUAACCAAUUUUAAAGUACGGCUGAUAAGGUCUGAGAUUAAAAAUACGGUAAUGAGAGAUUAUAGUAUGAUGCUAAGACAAACAAGUUGGGGUCGGUCCUUACUGACAACUUGUGGCAAAUAGGGAUUUUCUCUUUACGAACGGCGUGGAACACGAGGCUUGAACUUCAUAGCCACAGUGGUCCUGAACGACUCGUGGUCACCACCACCUACACCCUCGGUUGCAGGGGAUUCCUCAAAUGUACGCCCUUCAUCCUCUUCACGGUACACGCAAUCACAAACUAUUUUAUAGCACUCAUUUAUCGGGUUGUUCACAAUUUCAAGUGCAAUCCUAACCCUCUUAUCACCGGAGUUGAACUACGUACACAAAAAUCACCAUCACACGAGUACACAUAACUAACAGAGAUAAACAACAUUCAACUUUCAUUAUAUACAGAAACUAAUAAACUCACAUUAGAGAACCACCGCUCUCGGUAGUACUGCAUAUGCCUGAUGGUGAAUAUACCAGAGUCGCACUUGUUAGGAACAGCACGGGUGGUAUCGGGAUAUGUGAAACUGUAAGUGGAAAAGGCCGAUGGAGGGAGAUCCGACUCUCUCAGGUGUGAGGAAAAAAUUUCUCCCAGGAGACUCAUCUGCACAAAACAAGGACAACCAAAAACGUACAAUAUCAAAUCAGUAUUGAAGAUCUUUAACAAAAUCAACUCAAAUAAUGCAAAAACUCACUACGCCGUUAACAAGGUUCUUGCGGUGUUGCUGUGCUGGGAGAUCGGGGAUGCUGUCCCAUAUCUCACAUUCAUCUUCGGUGAUGUUGACAACAACAAGAAACCAAUAAUCCAAAACAUCAUCAUUCAUGGGGAUGAAUAUUUGUGUUCAGUAAAUGUAAGGUUUUGGGUGCCAUGUGAUGACGAAUCAAAUAGCAAUAUUAAGAAUCUGACUAACCUUUUGACAUGAUUGUAGCCGCCCGUAAUAUUUCUGCAGCUUACACAUGGUAAUGGUGGCUGAUACAUGUGAUUUCAUACCCGCAUAACAUUCAGAAUAGUCCUUUGCGCGGUCCUGUAAACAAAGACAACCAGCCGAUCACAACUCUCGUUACAAAUACUUUCCAAUUAUUUAAGGAAACUAGGACAAUAUACAACGUACCGAAAGUAACGUUGAGAUUAACCAGCAAUCAUCCUUGUUCGCAAAACAGUACUCCCCCAUGAUGUUGAUCACCUCAGUAUAGUAUAAUUCUUUCAUUUUAGAAUCACUCAAUGGAAAUUGAAGGGAAUAAUAAGGCAUAAGCCUGAAAAUAUUUUUCUAAAUAAUAAAAUAACCUCGCCGCUUAUACAACGUGAGGGGGCGAGGCACAAAAGGUCCCAACGAGACACACUAAAUUUCCUGAAUCUCUCUACUUCGCCACUGUUUCACAGAUGUGAAAAACAUGGUCAACUCCAUAUUUUACGGGGACAAUGUUUCAACACCAAACAAAACAACAUAAACACUUUUGCAGAUAGUUCUUAUUCAGUAGUUAGCGUUACCUUCCUAGGUUGUCCUCAGCAGGGGCCUUCUUGCUAAAUAAGUAAUUCAACAUAUCCAUGUCUACAGGAGAUCGGUUAGCUACACCCCCAAACCUACGCUGCCCUUGUUUCUUCACCUCCAGACUACGAUUCAAGGACUUCUGAGACCCUUUAGCAUUGCUGGUUGUGUUUGCUGGUUGUGUUUGCGCAAACCGGUUUCAACAUAUGGGUAUUCACAUCCUCCUACAAUACAAACACGGGUUACAAAAUAAAAUAUAACCAGUGUGAAAGAACAAUAUAUGUAAUAUUUUGCACAACAUAUUAAUAACCGAUAACCGAGUAAAAGUCAAAAUAAACACACCCCCGUUGGUCCACUAUGACCACAUUCAAUUGACUCGACUGCUCUCAAAACAUCAUCCACUAUGCAGGUCACAUCUCUCGCCUUUAGCUUAACCACUGAAUCGUAUAAUGCUAUCAUUGCAUCCCGCAGGUUCGAUAUAUCCGGACCCAUCCGAUGCACAGUUGUCUCCAGGACUCCUACUUUUUCUUCUGCAACAGAAAUGUGAGACCUCAUUGCAAACAUGUCGUCCACCAAAUUAGUUUUCAGUCCAGUGUUGUAAUCCCGAGAACCUGAGAACUCUGUCAAUCUGACACCUGAGUAUCUCCUCGUAACCCAUAUACCCUAUGAUGCAUUAAAUCCCCCUUUCUCUGCCACCCUUUCGUAUAUCCUGUUUGACUCCUUACUGCCCCAAGCCAUUACCGGAGGGACACUCUUUGGAAUUAUGAACAUUCUUCCCCAACAACACCCAAAUAGAACAGCUGCAGAAAGACAAGGCAACCCCCUACGUGGUCGGUUUUGUUGGUUUGAUACAGCUUCACUUCCUCCAACAAUUUCUUAAAUGCAAAACGACCCCAGUUAUAACUUCUGAUACGCUUCCUCUCCUUCACCAAUGAUAACAGCCUUGGAUCUACAUAACCUGGUCUGUUGGGCCAAAACAUUAUAGCCAGCGCAAACAAUAUAAAACUAACCACAAACAGCUCAUCCAGAUUGUCUGUGAAUACUACGUUAUUCCUCAAUCUGUCAAUAGUCAUCUCUUUAUCGACCCCCCAAAUUUGUCCAUGUAACUCGGCUAAUUCAGCAUCCAAGCUCAAGCUCUUUGGUAUGGCAACUUCAAUGCCACGACACCUCAGUCCCAUUAAGCGAUCAAAGUCCUUCUCCAUUACUGACAAGUUUCGCCCGUGGAUCUUGAUGGUACAAUUUUUCACAUUAAAAUUGUCCAACAACAUUUUGCAUAGUGACAGGUUUAACUCCCUGCAUCAAAACUGGUGCACAGGACCAAAUCCCAAAUCAUUAAUCUCAAAUACCUUAUCAUUUGAAAUUCGGGACACUACGUCUUUAAACACUUUUGGCUCACAUUCUGUUAAAAUUCCACAGUCUCCAUCCAAUGGUUUGUUCCUCUUAUCAAUAUGCUUGUCCUCUAGCUGGAAAACCCCUCCCCUUAACCACUCUUCUUCACCCAGCUUCUACGUUGUUAAUACAGUGACAAGUACCCAGUAUUAAAGGUCAAAUCAUUACACAACACAUAAUAAAACAAAUCAAACAAUGUAGCUACCUUAUCAUCAUAUAACAAGUCUGUGUUUCUCCAAUUCUAAUUCAUUCCUCCCAUCAUACUGUUCAAUAAUACAUUCAAAGCCGGUCAGCAACAAUGUAUCCGCAAAUAUAACUCCCACUAAUUAUUUAGGUACUUACUCCUCACUUCCGGAUCCUCCGUGUCUUUCCAAACCUUCCUUAUAGGCUCUCUUCCUUGUUUCAGACUUCGUCGCAUGCUCAGACUCACGUUUCUUCCUCCCCGUACCCUGCCGUUUCCACAUUCAUAAACGCAUUUACAUUUCAACUGUUUCAGAUAACUAAAAAUUCAAAAUAUUUUGAUGCAAAUUGUAACACUAACCAUUAUAUGCUUAUAAAUUUCAAUGAAUAUAAUCUGAUUUCAAUAAUUAACAAAUUUCACAUGUCUCGUUAUCCGGUAUCUAAACAAAAUUAUAGGGAUCUCGAAUUUCUUACGGUUUCUUCCAUGGAUGAUCAGACCGGUUGCCGAUUUCUGGAAUGCGACUCCGAUGCACCGGAUUUCAGUUUCUGGAUCUAUAUCGGAAACCGGCGACUCAGGGCGGUAUUUUCUGGAAAAACCCACAGCUUGUGCAAGAUUUUGGAUUCUGCUCCGACGGCUGAUAUGAAGCAACAAAAUCGUUCUGCUUUCGUCCACGCAGAGAAACCCUAGAUUUUGGAGAGAAGAAAAGGAAUCAGAAGAUCUGUUCUGGAUGGCAUGGGCGAGACGAGUGCGUACACGAUAAAAGUAUGAGUGAAAUUUUGGAUACCCUCACUACCAGGACAAGCACUUUAGCCGACGAAAAUUUUUCGUCGGCCUGUCAGCUUAAUUCGUCGGCUAAGAUCUUAGCCGACGACCUUUCGUCGGCUAAGAUUUCGUCGGGAAAAGCUCGUCUGUGGUGACUUUAGCCGACGACACACGUAUAAGUCGUCGGCUAAAGUCAAGACUUUAGCCGACGAAAUAAUGUUCUUUAGCCGACGAAAUAAAAAUUUCGUCGGCUAAAGUUGACUAUAGCCGACGAAAAUAUAAUUUAGCCGACGAAGGAAAAUUUCGUCGGCUAAAGUGUACUUUAGCCGACGAAAAAUUGUUUCGUCGGCCUGUUUUUUUUUUUUCGUCGGCUAAAGUCUUUCUUCUGGUAGUGCCUAUACAUACUAGCCAAAUACAGACCGUCUUAAUACAAAAUCCAGGGGGACAGUACACAGACAGUAGGGGGGCAGCUGGGUGCAUUCCUAAAUUCUCCAUUUUUGAUUCAUCAAAAUGUUUACCUGUAAUCUUUCUUGAUGUAAAUUCUCCAUACAUACAUUGUUAAUUUCAAUCUCAUUUUGGUUUCUAAUGAGAAUGAGUGAAGAGAUCGAUAGAUGUUAUUGGUAUCAUUGCAGUUAGAAUGUGAUUAAGUAGUUCAUGAAAAGAACAAGACGCCUACUUAAUCGUGGAAAUAUAUGCGAAACUUAAAUAGCGGACAUGCAUGUUGAUCUUUGACAAACCGUAUUAGCAAAUUAACGAAUUGUACUGAACUGAUCGCAUGCCUAUAAUAUGACCACCAAUGGUUUUAUGGGAGGGUCUAAACCAUUGAGAACCAAUAAUCCAUACCCACAACCAGUACUUGGAUUUUCCAUGUGAAGGUAUAAGGAUAGUUGGUAAUCCUUUUUAUCCUGCAAAACAUCUUAAGGUGCUGUUGUCUGAUCAAGAACAAGUGACACUAAUAUCCCUUAUGGUUUCAGGUAAAACAUGCAUCUGCAUAUCACUGUUUUUCACAGAGGUUAGCAGCUUCGCUUGCUAUCCUAGUACUGAGUCUUCUGCUGUCCUGAGUUUCAAAGUCUGUUAUAUUAGUAUAAUAAGUCUUUCAAAUUCAAAUGGACAACUGAGUUUGUGGAAAGUGCUUUAGCGCUCAAACCAGUCAAAGGGUUGAGAUCUUUUGUUAUGCCAACCCGUGACCAAAUGGUUUGAUGCUCAAGGCUCCAGUUGGGAUUUCAUGAUACGUUAUCCUAUGUAUAGCUGGUCCCUGUAUGGUUCAAAGACCAGUUGCUAUCAGCUGUGUCAAGGUCCACUAAUGGACUGAGCAAGAGGGUUUAAAACCUCUUUGCUCCUUGUUUUGAAUCGUUCAUGUUUUAGCAAAGGUAUCUUUGUCUUAUUGAGGUUGCUUGUGUCAACUCUCCAUUUGGUUACAUCACUUUCAGUAUGGGGAACCAAACACUUCUGUCCAAACCUUUCUGAAACAUGUUGAGGUCAGCUUGCAUCAUCUUUGAUGCCUUGUCUGCCUAUAUAUAUCUAUAGCUUUGGCUUUGCUCAAUGGUUGUGGAAAACUGCCUUAUUGCGUUUUAUUUGUUGAGUCUAGUUUUUAGCUUGCAUUGUUCAUGCUGCUCUAAGUCUUCUUCGUGACUGUAAACCUUAGAGCUUGAACUCAAAACUUCUUUCAUCAACUCAUAUCAUGUUGCAUACCAUGAGGGAUGUGUAGUGCAACCAACCCAAGAAGCGUUCAAGGUUGAAUCAGCUAGUGGUUAGCUGAAUUCACGAACAAAGCUUUUGAAAAUGUUCCAUGUUGUAAGAACUUAGAAACAAGAGAGGGAAUAGGUCUAGACUAGUUCGGGACUAGGAAUGAUAGCAAUGUGGUAGUAUAUCACUAGAACUAUUAUUCUUGUAAGGAGUUACUUCAACUUAGUGGAAAUUUUUGUCUCUUAAGAGUUAGAGACACAGUUUUUCUCCCUGCAUUCAGGGUUUCUGCGAGUAAAAAACAUCCUUGUGUUGAUUCUUUAUUUGCUGCAAUUUACUUUCUGCAAAUUCGUAUCAUGUGAUUCUGGGAUAGCACAAAUCAUUACUAUCCUCGGAUACAGAAAUCAACGAAAAUUUAAAAAAAAAAUUGACCUAUUCCCCCCCCCCCGGGGACCUUUACCAUGUUACAUGAAAAGCCGUAAAUUGAAAAGGAGUGGGUUGUCCAUCAACCCAGUACUGUAAGUAAAAUUCAGGGAGACUUUGACAACCUCUUCUCCUGUGUGGUUCAACCAGCACUACAUUCUCAAUUUGAGAUGACAGGAAGAUGACUUCCUCAACUUCCAGGUCAUUAAGAUUCCUUCUAAACCAAAACCCCAACUCGAUGGAAGGACACAAGAGUUAACACAUUAUUUUGGCAAUAUAGGAGAAUCAUGACCCUGAGAUAAUCAAUGUAAACAAGAUAAGUUCUGGAGGUUUUGUCCACGACAGUGAGCAUCAUGAGACCACAACUUGUGCUACAAUCAAAAGAUCAACAUAGAAGCAUCGACCCCUUAACAUUUCUCUACCACAUAUAUACAACAAUAUAGAGUCACUUACAUGUACAUAACAAGUGUUCUCGCACUACUUUGAAGUGGCAAGAGCUGAAUGAAAAACAUCUUCGAGAUACUUCUUAGCAGCAGCAUACUGUCUUUUCUUGUCCUCAAUUGCUAAAGCAGCCAAAGCUUUAUCCUGCAGAUAUUCAAACCUCACAAUUCACAAUCUUUUUAGGAGCAACCAGAAUUCAACCAUGUAAUUGAAGUAGAGAAGUACCGGAGGUAAGUCUUGGUAGCUUCGCAAAGUAUCAAGAACGGGUUGUGUCUUCUUCUCUAGUUCCUUCCGGUGCUCAGCCAACUCAACCAACACCCCAUGGUUCUGUCUUCGCACAUCCCCCUAAAUCUACUCCACAUUUCUGUCCUUCAGAAAAUGUAUACACAAACACACAUAUGUGGCGUACGUCACAGCCAUCAUGACGCCCAUACAUACUAAAAUGUAACAUGUAUACACUAGCUUCUGAAACUAAUGUUUACAUAUCAGUUCUUCAUUGUUAUUUUUAACAGCACUAGGUUUCAGACUAAAGCAUAUAAGUUGCUCUUCUAACUGCAACAUUCUAUAUGAAAUUGUUCAUACUAAAUGUUGGCAAGACCAAAUAUAGGAUCUCACUUUACAUAAUCCCUAUUUCAUACAAUUAGAUGGUUCUAAGUUUUUGAGCUUCAUACCGAAUUAGUUCUAUGCUCAUAAGAGCUUAUGCCUAAAGUAUCAACACACAUGUUUGUAUAGGAGGCAUGAGGAACGGACAGACUCUAGAGAUUAGUCUGGUUGUAUGAUUUGUACCAUACUUAUUAAUUACCAACAUGAUUACAUAACUGCAGUAUCUCCUUAGUCUAUUUCAUGCAAUCUUCCAGUUCCUGUUACCUCAGCACAUAUAAUUGAUUUACAAGCAAAAUUAACAUUAAGAUACAACACAUCUACUAACACUCCUAUAUUUCUGUAAGACCCAUUAGCCAACUGCAGAUAUUUCAGUAGAAAAACAUCAUUGAUUAUAAUUUAUAUAAUCCAUCAACCAAAAUCACAACUCAAGAUUUCCAAAUAACAUCAUCUGCUCUACCAGAUGUAGAUGUUGCGUUUUCAUUUAUAUCACGUAUUUUUUCCCCAAUACAUGAUAACAAACAAAAGCGUAGCAAUGUAGCAUGAACAAAAUAAUUUAACACUGCGUCUCAAUAAAUAAAUUGUAUAACUAAAUAAACUUUUGUUCAUGUUACUCAGUGGCGGGUCCAGGAUUUAACACUAGGCUGGGCUUGUAUUUUUUUUUUUUUUUGUAUUGAUUGAAACAAUAGGAAAAUUUAACGGCAGUCUAAAAUAUUUAACUAAAAUAUAUUAGAUAUACAAUUUAUUUAUUGAGAUGCAAUAAUAAAAACUUAUCUAAAACUACCAUUUAAGCAAUCAUUAGAAAGAUUUUUUUUUUUUUUGAAACUAUUUAUAUGAUAAAAUAAAGGUUAAUUAAGAUAAGAAUUCAAUCAUAACUAAUACCAAAACAGGUAUAACAUCUUACCAAAGAAUGCUAUGAGCGAGGCCCAUUAUUUAAUUUUGAGCCUAGUGGAAAAAUGCAUUUUAGAAGAAAUCAAGAAAGUAAAAAAGUGAAAAAAAAAAAGAAAAAAAAAAACUUUAGAAGAAAUCCAGAAAGUAAAGAAGUAAAAAAAGAAGAAAAAAGGAAAACAAAUAGGGAAUCGAUCCGAGGUGGGGUUGCUGUUAGUACUAGCACCAAACCAAGCUUACUAAAGCUUCUUUCAAUAUUGUGAUGCACAUGCUAAAAUAUUUAAUGUCAAAAUCUCGGUUGGGCUUGAGCCCAACUUAGCUCUAGCCUGGCUUCGCGCCUGGCCAAUAUUGGGGCAGAUUCGGCAGUUCACAUUUUGGUGAAUUUCUUUAAUGCCUCGCUUUAUUGUAGUAGAGAUAUAAAUGUUAAUGUUAUGAGCAAAAUCGAGAUGGUGAAACUUUGACAACAAUACCUGACUUCCCAUCAUAGGAGUGAAGAUUUGAGUCCCAUACUCCCCAAGAAUAACUUAUCUUAAUUUAGAUUAGACCUCACACAUGUUUGGUGCUAGAUGUAUUGGUGUUUGGUGUUGGUACAUAUGUCUGGUCAGCAUAUUGUGACCGCUUCUAUACUGGUCAUAACCAACAUAUUCACUCACUCUUCGACUACGAUCACAAAGACAGUAACAACAGCUAUCGAAUGAUGUAAGCCGUUCCUUGAUCAACAUCGCGACGCGCGUGUAGGCGCGUCACCAAAACUGCUCCUUGGAGCAAUAUAAGGAGCACAUGUCCCACAUCGAGGAAGUGCAAAGGGGCCAAGACCAGCCUAUAAGUGUAACUAUAUCUCUCUUCAUUUACUACGCAAUUACUAUUUACUUCUGUUGCUCUACUAAUUUAUUCACUGACUUAGGCAUCGGAGCGUUGAAGACCGUUAAAAAGCGGUCUCCUCUCCUGAUCUAGUUUGGUAUCCUUGUUGACAGACUCAAGAACGAAGACUACGACAACUGUUUACAGAUCUGUAUUAUGACGUAUAUAGGGAGUUGAGAUAACCGUUUAUAUACUGCACAAAACAUUUGAACUUUGGACUAAUGAGUAAUGAUUGCAACAACAAAAGAAGGAAGAGUUAUCAAUAAGAUUCGAUCAAUAAAGAACACAUGAACACCAGAAGAAGUUUAAACCCAUUUCUUUUUGUCGAAAAUGCAACUUAAUUUGGGUAUUGCAUCAGAAAAAAAAAACACUUAAUUUGGGUGUUGAUUUAAACCAAUGGAAAUAUGGGAUGCAUGGGAUCAUGUCCCAUUUCUCUUGGGCGGAUGUGCAAAGCCAUCUCUACCAGUGCACCAUGGUCUAAGAAAGGUUUCGGUUUGAGGAGUUCUAGAUUGGCACAAAGGGUGAAAGGAAGCGGUGGAUGCAUGUUGGACCUGGGAGGUUGUGACAACAAUGUUUAAGGUUGGCAAGAAACUCAUGCAUGCCCAGUUUACUAUUAUCAAUUGGCAGUGUCGUGUUUUUUGGAACAACUACAAACAAAGAUAAUGGGAUGCUUCAUAGUCGUCUGCAGGUUUUGUUAGAGAUAUCGUUGUCUCAUGCCAAUCAAUAUGAGAGUACAGUCCUCUAACAUAGCUAUAUGGUUUACUGAUGGAUAAACAAGUUUAUUGGCGUUAGAGAUCGAAUAUGACUUGAUUAGCAAAUGGUGAUAGCAAUAAGAAAUAUUUCCACCGGAAAGCUUCUUGUAGGCAUAAAAGAUGACCAAAUUGGUUGUUUGAUCAUGAUGGUGAUUGGCAAUUAUCUCAAUAUUAUUUUGUUUAUGUUUUGUGGUAUUGUUGGAUUACAAUGGUAUGGAGGAGGUAGUAGAACAAGUCUUGGAAAAAGUGACACUUGAGAUGAAUGCUUCAUUGUGUGCACCAUUUUCAUCGGAUCAGAUUAAGGCAUACAUUGUUUCACACGUACACUAUCAAAGCCUGAGAGUCUGAUAUGGUAUGCUCCAAUUACUUUUACAUAAAUAUUGGGAUAUUUUAGGUGAGAAAGUCGUGAUUACAGUUCAUAAUUUCUUCAUAUAGGUCACGUCAUACCCCGAAUUUUAAAUACAUAAAUUUUAAAAUUCGAAAAUACGAUAUCCAUUUUGUCAACUCCAAUUACUUAAAAUUCCUAUCUACAACAACUAGGUAUCAAGAAACAAAAGUUCAAAGGUUACAACUCUACUAUUAGAAUCCGAGUAAUAUGUCAAACAACUUGAAAAUGUCAGUACCCUAUGAUAAACACAACAAAAUAAGGUCAAACACCUAAUUGUUGCAACAAAAGGUCAAUAUCUCAAUCUUAUUGAUCCUCACCUGCAGGUCUAACCCCUACACACCAUGGAUUGGUGUAGUGGGAUGUAAACAACAAACCUGGUAAGCUAUAAAGCUCGUAUGAGUAAAUCCUAAAUAAUUAACGCAACAAACAUGCAUAAUAAUUUUGCAUCACAUGAAACAAUAAACUAACCAACAAAUUUCACACAUGUUGCCUCCUCCACUGUCCUAUCUGCCUCCCCACCCUGAAGGUCUUUCAUGUCAAGCAAUCCCUUCUAGACCACCUUAAAGAUUUCCACAAGGACAUGUAGAGUCGUCUGGUCCCUAGUUUUAUGUAGUUAGGAGGGAUAGCUAAAUAGAACCCAGAUAGCUAAAAGAGG